UACGUAGGGUGCGAGCGUUGUCCGGAAUUAUUGGGCGUAAAGAGCUCGUAGGCGGUUUGUCGCGUCUGCUGUGAAAACCUAAGGCUCAACCUUGGGCUUGCAGUGGGUACGGGCAGACUAGAGGUGCGGUAGGGGUGACUGGAAUUCCUGGUGUAGCGGUGGAAUGCGCAGAUAUCGGGAGGAACACCAGUGGCGGAAGGCAGCCUCCUGGGAU
rnacentral:rRNA from 1 species